rnacentral:rRNA from 1 species
CUGGCGGCGUGCCUAAUACAUGCAAGUCGAGCGAACGGACGAGAAGCUUGCUUCUCUGAUGUUAGCGGCGGACGGGUGAGUAACACGUGGAUAACCUACCUAUAAGACUGGGAUAACUUCGGGAAACCGGAGCUAAUACCGGAUAAUAUUUUGAACCGCAUGGUUCAAAAGUGAAAGACGGUCUUGCUGUCACUUAUAGAUGGAUCCGCGCUGCAUUAGCUAGUUGGUAAGGUAACGGCUUACCAAGGCAACGAUGCAUAGCCGACCUGAGAGGGUGAUCGGCCACACUGGAACUGAGACACGGUCCAGACUCCUACGGGAGGCAGCAGUAGGGAAUCUUCCGCAAUGGGCGAAAGCCUGACGGAGCAACGCCGCGUGAGUGAUGAAGGUCUUCGGAUCGUAAAACUCUGUUAUUAGGGAAGAACAUAUGUGUAAGUAACUGUGCACAUCUUGACGGUACCUAAUCAGAAAGCCACGGCUAACUACGUGCCAGCAGCCGCGGUAAUACGUAGGUGGCAAGCGUUAUCCGGAAUUAUUGGGCGUAAAGCGCGCGUAGGCGGUUUUUUAAGUCUGAUGUGAAAGCCCACGGCUCAACCGUGGAGGGUCAUUGGAAACUGGAAAACUUGAGUGCAGAAGAGGAAAGUGGAAUUCCAUGUGUAGCGGUGAAAUGCGCAGAGAUAUGGAGGAACACCAGUGGCGAAGGCGACUUUCUGGUCUGUAACUGACGCUGAUGUGCGAAAGCGUGGGGAUCAAACAGGAUUAGAUACCCUGGUAGUCCACGCCGUAAACGAUGAGUGCUAAGUGUUAGGGGGUUUCCGCCCCUUAGUGCUGCAGCUAACGCAUUAAGCACUCCGCCUGGGGAGUACGACCGCAAGGUUGAAACUCAAAGGAAUUGACGGGGACCCGCACAAGCGGUGGAGCAUGUGGUUUAAUUCGAAGCAACGCGAAGAACCUUACCAAAUCUUGACAUCCUUUGACAACUCUAGAGAUAGAGCUUUCCCCUUCGGGGGACAAAGUGACAGGUGGUGCAUGGUUGUCGUCAGCUCGUGUCGUGAGAUGUUGGGUUAAGUCCCGCAACGAGCGCAACCCUUAAGCUUAGUUGCCAUCAUUAAGUUGGGCACUCUAAGUUGACUGCCGGUGACAAACCGGAGGAAGGUGGGGAUGACGUCAAAUCAUCAUGCCCCUUAUGAUUUGGGCUACACACGUGCUACAAUGGACAAUACAAAGGGCAGCGAAACCGCGAGGUCAAGCAAAUCCCAUAAAGUUGUUCUCAGUUCGGAUUGUAGUCUGCAACUCGACUACAUGAAGCUGGAAUCGCUAGUAAUCGUAGAUCAGCAUGCUACGGUGAAUACGUUCCCGGGUCUUGUACACACCGCCCGUCACACCACGAGAGUUUGUAACACCCGAAGCCGGUGGAGUAACCUUUUAGGAGCUAGCCGUCGAAGGUGGGACAAAUGAUUGGGGUGAAGUCGUAACAAGGUAGCCGUAUCGGAAGGUGCGGCUG